GCUGGGUAUGGUGGCGCACACCUGUAAUCCCAGCCACAUGGGAGGCUGAGGCAGGAGAAUUGCUUGAACCCAGGAAGCGGAGGAUGCAGUGAGCCAAAAUCACGCCACUGCAUUCCAGCCUGGGUGACAGAGCGAGACUCCAUCUCAA
rnacentral:sRNA from 1 species